rnacentral:rRNA from 1 species
AUGAAUUGCCUCAGCUGGAACUGCCGCGGGCUUGGGAACCCAGCGGCAGUUCGAGAGCUUCGCAGCAUCGUGAAGCAGGAAGGGCCCGGUCUCCUCUUUCUGAUGGAGACAAAAAUUUCGGCAAAAAGAGUUGAAAUCUUGAAAACCACACUUGGUUUCGCAGGCUGUUUUGCUGUAAACAGCGAGGGAUUGAGUGGAGGAGUUGCGCUAUUUUGGGCAGCCGACAUCAAGGUUGAGCUCAAGAAUUAUAGUUCUGGCCAUAUUGAUGUUAUGGUGCAUACAAAUGACCCGGACUCGAGUCCGUGGUGA